GAUGAACGCUGGCGGCGUGCCUAAUACAUGCAAGUCGAGCGAACAGACGAGGAGCUUACUCCUCUGACGUUAGCGGCGGGCGGGUGAGUAACACGUGGAUAACCUACCUAUAAGACUGGGAUAACUUCGGGAAACCGGAGCUAAUACCGGAUAACAUGUUGAACCGCAUGGUUCAACAGUGAAAGACGGUCUUGCUGUCACUUAUAGAUGGAUCCGCGUCGCAUUAGCUAGUUGGUAAGGUAACGGCUUACCAAGGCAACGAUGCGUAGCCGACCUGAGAGGGUGAUCGGCCACACUGGAACUGAGACACGGUCCAGACUCCUACGGGAGGCAGCAGUAGGGAAUCUUCCGCAAUGGGCGAAAGCCUGACGGAGCAACGCCGCGUGAGUGAAGAAGGUCUUCGGAUCGUAAAACUCUGUUAUUAGGGAAGAACAAAUGUGUAAGUAACUAUGCACGUCUUGACGGUACCUAAUCAGAAAGCCACGGCUAACUACGUG
rnacentral:rRNA from 1 species